UUAUUUAUCAUCUAAAGUGAUAUAAAUAGACAUCACUGAUAAAACAAACAAAUAUUAACUCUUAUGAGUUAACUUAAAUAUAGUCUCGUUCUAGGUCUCCGAGAAGUCCGCAUCGAUCGGGGGUGAGAGUACGUGAACAUCGUCUAAUAGGUUGUUUCACCACGAGAUGUGAUACUACUAUGUGCCUUGAGAAUGGGAUCCAUGGGGAAUCCGAGACGAAGGACAUCUGCACGAGCAUGCCCCGGCUCAUGUGAGCUGAUCACUCCGCAGUCAUCUCGCGCUCGGCCGUGUUCGCUGCGCACAGCGUGCCUGGCGGCCGGUGCAGCUGCCGCUCAUCGGCUUCGGCCAUGAGCCAAUGCGAGAGACGGGCGGCUGCGCCGAUUGCUAAGCGGAGUUGAGUCCACAUUGUGGCUGCUGCUGAAACAAGUAGCUUUCAUUUUAAUUUGUAUUUGCGAAAGAAAGGUACCGAGAGUUGUGCAACGUCGGCCGUUGAUCGAGAUAUAGAC
rnacentral:lncRNA from 1 species